UACGUAGGUGGCAAGCGUUGUCCGGAUUUACUGGGCGUAAAGAGCGCGCAGGCGGUCGUUCAAGUCGCGUGUGAAAGCCCCCGGCUCAACUGGGGAGGGUCAUUCGAUACUGUCCGACUCGAAGGCAGGAGAGGGAAGCGGAAUUCCCGGUGUAGUGGUGAAAUGCGUAGAUAUCGGGAGGAACACCAGUGGCGAAGGCGGCUUUCUGGCCUGUUCUUGACGCUGAGGCGCGAAAGCUAGGGGAGCAAACGGG
rnacentral:rRNA from 1 species